CCUACGGGGGGCUGCAGUGGGGAAUAUUGGACAAUGGGGGGAACCCUGAUCCAGCCAUGCCGCGUGUGUGAAGAAGGCCCUCGGGUUGUAAAGCACUUUCAGUGAGGAAGAACGCCUGGUGGUUAAUACCCAUCAGGAAAGACAUCACUCACAGAAGAAGCACCGGCUAACUCCGUGCCAGCAGCCGCGGUAAUACGGAGGGUGCGAGCGUUAAUCGGAAUUACUGGGCGUAAAGCGCGCGUAGGUGGCUUGAUAAGCCGGUUGUGAAGCCCCGGGCUCAACCUGGGAACGGCAUCCGGAACUGUCAAGCUAGAGUGCAGGAGAGGAAGGUAGAAUUCCCGGUGUAGCGGUGAAAUGCGUAGAGAUCGGGAGGAAUACCAGUGGCGAAGGCGGCCUUCUGGACUGACACUGACACUGAGGUGCGAAAGCGUGGGUAGCAAACAGGAUUAGAUACCCUUGUAGUC
rnacentral:rRNA from 1 species